rnacentral:rRNA from 1 species
UACGUAGGGUGCGAGCGUUGUCCGGAAUUAUUGGGCGUAAAGAGCUCGUAGGCGGUCUGUCGCGUCGAUCGUGAAAACUUGGGGCUUAACCCUGAGCUUGCGGUCGAUACGGGCAUGACUGGAGUUCGGCAGGGGAGACUGGAAUUCCUGGUGUAGCGGUGAAAUGCGUAGAGAUCGGCAGGAACACCCAGGGGGAAACCAGCUGCCUGGGCAAGCGCUGACGCUGAGGUGCGAGAGCGUGGGGAGCGAACCGG